UACGAAGGGUGCAAACGUUGCUCGGAAUCAUUGGGCGUAAAGCGCACGUAGGCGGCUCCAAAAGUCGGAUGUGAAAUCCCUGGGCUCAACCGAGGAAGUGCAUCCGAAACUGCGGAGCUUGAGUAUGGAAGAGGGUCGCGGAAUUCCCGGUGUAGAGGUGAAAUUCGUAGAUAUCGGGAGGAACACCAGUGGCGAAGGCGGCGACCUGGGCCAAUACUGACGCUGAGGUGCGAAAGCGUGGGGAUCAAACAGG
rnacentral:rRNA from 1 species